rnacentral:rRNA from 1 species
UACGUAGGGUGCGAGCGUUAAUCGGAAUUACUGGGCGUAAAGCGUGCGCAGGCGGUUUUGUAAGCCAGAUGUGAAAGCCCCGGGCUUAACCUGGGAAUGGCAUUUGGGACUGCAAGGCUCGAGUGCGGCAGAGGAGACUGGAAUUCCUGGUGUAGCAGUGAAAUGCGUAGAUAUCAGGAGGAAUACCGAUGGCGAAGGCAGGUCUCUGGGCUGACACUGACGCUCAU